AGAGAGAGAGAGAGAGAGAGAGAGAGAGAGAGAGAACACUCUCUCUCUCUCUCUCUCUCUCUCUCUCUCUCUCUCUCUCUCUC
rnacentral:miRNA from 1 species